rnacentral:rRNA from 1 species
ACAGAGGGUGCAAGCGUUGUUCGGAAUUAUUGGGCGUAAAGGGCGCGUAGGCGGUGCGGUAAGUCUGUAGUGAAAUCUCCGGGCUCAACUCGGAAAUUGCUAUAGAAACUGCCGUGCUCGAGUGUGGGAGAGGUGAGUGGAAUUCCCGGUGUAGCGGUGAAAUGCGUAGAGAUCGGGAAGAACAUCAGUGGCGAAGGCGGUCUGCUGGGCCGUUGCUGACGCUGAGGCGCGACAGCGUGGGGAGCAAACAGGA